GUGUUCUCUCCCAUAUUUUUUACCAUCCAAAUCCAAUUUCCCCUCUUUCCUUAUAUUUCUAUUCCUAUUAUAUCUUAUUGCCUCCACCGUUUCUCAGGCUCUCUCAAUUUUUUCUUAAUUUGAGUGGCUGCAAAACCCACGUGUUCCCUCCUUCAUUCUUUUUUGGUUUCCCCCUUUUUUGCUUAAUAAUCUCUUUCUUCAUCCAAUAACCGCAUGGAGGUUUAGGGUUUUGAUCCUCACAACCUCGCUUAAAUUAAGGAUAUUGUUUUUUUCUUCUUCUUUUUUUCUUCUCAAUAACUGCCAUGUCUAGGAGGGUUCUUUGUAAGUUCUUUGCUCAUGGAGCCUGUCUGAAAGGGGAGCAUUGCGAAUUUUCUCACGACUGGAAAGAUCCUCCAAAUAAUAUAUGCACGUUUUACCAGAAAGGAGUCUGUGCUUAUGGUAGUCGCUGCAGAUAUGAUCAUGUCAAAGCUUCUCGAGAGACAUCUUCCACUCCAUCUUCUUCAGUAAUCGAACACCAGACCCUGGUUUCAGAUGCUGUGGCUUUUGGAGAUACUAGAACUACAUCGAAUGGUGUUGCUGCAGCUGCUGAGUUUUCUCUUUCCAGGAGUCCUUACCUUCUUCCUAGUGAACCGGCUUGGAAUCAAGAACCUGUUUGGAAUCAAGAACCUGCUUGGAAUCAAGAACCUGAUUGGAAUCAAGCAUUUGAGUAUAAUGAACUUUUAGGGGAAGACAAUGUUGGUCAAUCCAUAAUCACUUCACCGUCUGAGCUUUCAAUUUGUUCAUUUGCUGCUGCUGGCAACUGUCCACGAGGGGAUAAAUGUCCUCAUAUUCAUGGGGAUUUAUGUCCCACCUGUGGAAAACAUUGUUUGCAUCCUUUCCGACCUGAGGAAAGAGAAGAACAUAUGAAGAGUUGUGAAAAUAAGCAUAAGCAUCUUGAGGCAUUGAAACGAAGUCAAGAAAUUGAAUGCAGUGUUUGCCUGGAGCGUGUUCUGUCAAAGCCUACAGCAGCUGAACGGAAGUUUGGGCUGCUAUCUGAAUGUGAUCAUCCAUUUUGCAUAUCCUGUAUUAGGAAUUGGCGUAGUAGUAACCCAACACUGGGAAUGGAUGUUAAUAGCACAUUGAGGGCUUGUCCUAUCUGUCGCAAGCUAUCAUACUUUGUCAUUCCUAGUGUCAUUUGGUACUCAACAACCGAAGAAAAACAGGAAAUCAUUGACAACUACAAAGCAAAGCUCAAGUCAAUUGAUUGCAAGCACUUUGACUUUGGGGACGGGAACUGCCCUUUUGGAACUAGUUGUUUCUACAAGCAUGCAUAUCGAGAUGGCCGUCUAGAGCAGGUAGUUUUGCGACAUCUAGGGGCUGCAGAUGGCAAUACCGUAAUUGCCAAAGACAUCAGGUUGUCAGAUUUCCUUUCUAACAUGCAUUUAAGAUGAAGGGUGUUGUUCGUAUGUUCCAGAUACUUGCUUAAAAAUGGCAUGCUUCAAUGUCAAAAGUUAUUUUUAUAUUGCAAGUCAAGCUCCUCUUCUUGUUUCUGUGAUAGGUGCUUUUUCAGUAAACCAUAUCCACUUGAUAACCCCAAAGUUUACUGAAAUAGGCACCAGAGAAAGAAGCUGCACUGUGCGUUCUGUCUUUGUAAUAAAGUGCAUGUGUAAAAUGGUAGAUGGACAUGCUACGAGGGUAUAAACUUAAAUAAGUUCAUUUUUAAAGCAUAUAAAUCCAAAUAUGGAUUGAUGGUGGUAUACUCUAUUAGAAGCAUGGUGGAAUGCACUGUUAGCCAUCAGUGAAACUUUUAGAAGCAUUUCUUUUGUCUGGUGGAUUUCAAAGUUAUAUACAAAAAUUGAUUGGGGUGAUGAAGUUUUCCUGUUUCCAUUAUUGAGAUCUCAAGGUAUAACUUUUUAUUGUAUACUGGAUUUCCUUGCCGUGGAUAGCACUACACGAAGAGUCUUAGGAAAGGGUUCAACAUAUGUAUCGGUUGUUAUUUUUUUAUAGGAUUUUGUCAGGGCCCCUUGGGCUUAUACUGGUAACCUGUUUCCUUUUUGAUGAAUAUACCAGUACAAUCUAAGUUUCACCUAGUGAAUGAAUAUACAUAACCCUUUUAAUAGCUAGUGAAUUUUCUUUCAAUUUAAUAGACCAGUUUGUUUAA